rnacentral:rRNA from 1 species
GCUCAGUAACACGUGGAUAACUUACCCUUAGGACCGGGAUAACCUUGGGAAACUGAGGACAAUACUGGAUAGGCAAUUUUUCCUGUAAUGGUUUUUUGUUUAAAUGUUUUUUCGCCUAAGGAUGGGUCUGCGGCCGAUUAGGUAGUUGGUUAGGUAAUGGCUUACCAAGCCGUUGAUCGGUACGGGUUGUGAGAGCAAGAGCCCGGAGAUGGAACCUGAGACAAGGUUCCAGGCCCUACGGGGUGCAGCAGGCGCGAAACCUCCGCAAUGUGAGAAAUCGCGACGGGGGGAUCCCAAGUGCCAUUCUUAACGGGAUGGCUUUUCAUUAGUGUAAAGAGCUUUUGGAAUAAGAGCUGGGCAAGACCGGUGCCAGCCGCCGCGGUAACACCGGCAGCUCUAGUGGUAGCAAUUUUUAUUGGGCCUAAAGCGUCCGUAGCCGGUUUAAUAAGUCUCUGGUGAAAUCUUGUAGCUUAACUGUGAGAAUUGCUGGAGAUACUAUCAGACUUGAAGUCGGGAGAGGUUAGAGGUACUACCGGGGUAGGGGUGAAAUCCUAUAAUCCUGGGAGGACCACCUGUGGCGAAGGCGUCUAACUGGAACGAUCUUGACGGUGAGUAACGAAAGCCAGGGGCGCGAACCGGAUUAGAUACCCGGGUAGUCCUGGCCGUAAACGAUGUGGACUUGGUGUUGGAAUGGCUUUGAGUUGUUCCGUGCCGAAGGGAAGCUGUUAAGUCCACCGCCUGGGAAGUACGGUCGCAAGACUGAAACUAAAGGAUUUGGCGGGGGGAGCAC